GACGAACGCUGGCGGCGUGCUUAACACAUGCAAGUCGAACGGAAAGGCCCUGCUUUUGUGGGGUGCUCGAGUGGCGAACGGGUGAGUAACACGUGAGUAACCUGCCCUUGACUUUGGGAUAACUUCAGGAAACUGGGGCUAAUACCGGAUAGGAGCUCCUGCUGCAUGGUGGGGGUUGGAAAGUUUCGGCGGUUGGGGAUGGACUCGCGGCUUAUCAGCUUGUUGGUGGGGUAGUGGCUUACCAAGGCUUUGACGGGUAGCCGGACUGGGAGGGUGACCGGCCACAUAGGACCUGAGGAAGGACCCGUACGCAUUAGGGGGGAAGGGGUGGGGAAUAUGGCAAAAUGGACGGAGGGCGGGUGGAGCAACGCCGGGUGGGGAAGGACGGCUUUCGGGUUGGAAACCGCUUUCGCCUGUGCCGAGGCGUGAGGAACGUUAAUGAGUAAAGAGGAACGGGCUAAUUAGGG
rnacentral:rRNA from 1 species